rnacentral:rRNA from 1 species
AUUGAACGCUGGCGGCAGGCCUAACACAUGCAAGUCGAACGAGUGGCGGACGGGUGAGUAAUGUCUGGGACACUGCCUGAUGGAGGGGGAUAACUACUGGACACUGUAGCUAAUACCGCAUACCCUCGGAUGUGCCCAAAUGGGAUUAGCUUGUGGGUGGGGUAAAGGCUCACUUAGGCGACGAUCCCUAGCUGGUCUGAGAGGAUGACCAGCCACACUGGAACUGAGACACGGUCCAGACUCCUACGGGAGGCAGCAGUGGGGAAUAGUGCACAAUGGGCGCAAGCCUGAUGCAGCCAUGCCGCGUGUAUGAAGAAGGCCUUAGGGUUGUAAAGUACUUUCAGCGGGGAGGCGUUACCCGCAGAAGAAGCACCGGCUAACUCCGUGCCAGCAGCCGCGGUAAUUC